UACGUAGGGUGCAAGCGUUGUCCGGAAUUAUUGGGCGUAAAGAGCUCGUAGGCGGCUUGUCGCGUCGGCUGUGAAAACCUGGGGCUCAACCCCGGGCCUGCAGCCGAUACGGGCAAGCUAGAAUUCGGUAGGGGAGACUGGAAUUCCUGGUGUAGCGGUGAAAUGCGUAGAUAUCUGGAGGAACACCGGUGGCGAAGGCGGCAUCCUGGACCGGUAUUGACGCUGAGGCGCGAAAGCUAGGGGAGCAAACGGG
rnacentral:rRNA from 1 species